rnacentral:rRNA from 1 species
AACGAACGCUGGCGGCAGGCUUAACACAUGCAAGUCGAGCGCCCCGCAAGGGGAGCGGCAGACGGGUGAGUAACGCGUGGGAACGUACCCUUUGCUACGGAAUAGCUCCGGGAAACUGGAAUUAAUACCGUAUGUGCCCUACGGGGGAAAGAUUGAUCGGCAAAGGAUCGGCCCGCGUUGGAUUAGCUAGUUGGUGGGGUAAUGGCCUACCAAGGCGACGAUCCAUAGCUGGUCUGAGAGGAUGAUCAGCCACAUUGGGACUGAGACACGGCCCAAACUCCUACGGGAGGCAGCAGUGGGGAAUAUUGGACAAUGGGCGCAGGCCUGACCCAGCCAUGCCGCGUGAGUGAUGAAGGCCUUAGGGUUGUAAAGCUCUUUCACCGGAGAAGAUAAUGACGGUAUCCGGAGAAGAAGCCCCGGCUAACUUCGUGCCAGCCGCCGCGGUAACAC